rnacentral:rRNA from 1 species
CAGUCGAGGGGCAGCAGUACUUUUCGGAGUAGCUGGCGACCGGCGCACGGGUGCGUAACGCGUAUGCAAUCUACCUACAGCAGAGGGAUAGCCCGUGGAAACAUGGAUUAAUACCUCAUAAUACAGGGGGCCCACCUGGGCAUAUUGUUAAAGAUUUAUCGGCUGUAGAUGGGCAUGCGUCCCAUUAGCUAGUUGGUACGGUAACGGCGUACCAAGGCGAUGAUGGGUAGGGGUUCUGAGAGGAUGAUCCCCCACACUGGUACUGAGAUACGGACCAGACUCCUACGGGAGGCAGCAGUAGGGAAUAUUGGUCAAUGGACGAGAGUCUGAACCAGCCAUGCCGCGUGCAGGAAGACGGCCUUCUGGGUUGUAAACUGCUUUUCUCAGGGAAGAAAAUGGUCUUGCGAGACAAAUUGCCGGUACCUGAGGAAUAAGCACCGGCUAACUCCGUGCCAGCAGCCGCGGUAAUACGGAGGGUGCGAGCGUUGUCCGGAUUUAUUGGGUUUAAAGGGUGCGUAGGCGGCCUAUUAAGUCAGUGGUGAAAGGUAUCAGCUUAACUGAUGAUGUGCCAUUGAAACUGACAGGCUUGAGUACAGACGAGGUAGG